CCUACGGGUGGCAGCAGUGGGGAAUAUUGGACAAUGGGGGGAACCCUGAUCCAGCCAUGCCGCGUGUGUGAAGAAGGCCCUCGGGUUGUAAAGCACUUUCAGUGAGGAAGAACGCCUGGUGGUUAAUACCCAUCAGGAAAGACAUCACUCACAGAAGAAGCACCGGCUAACUCCGUGCCAGCAGCCGCGGUAAUACGGAGGGUGCGAGCGUUAAUCGGAAUUACUGGGCGUAAAGCGCGCGUAGGUGGCUUGAUAAGCCGGUUGUGAAAGCCCCGGGCUCAACCUGGGAACGGCAUCCGGAACUGUCAAGCUAGAGUACAGGAGAGGAAGGUAGAAUUCCCGGUGUAGCGGUGAAAUGCGUAGAGAUCGGGAGGAAUACCAGUGGCGAAGGCGGCCUUCUGGACUGACACUGACACUGAGGUGCGAAAGCGUGGGUAGCAAACAGGAUUAGAUACCCUAGUAGUC
rnacentral:rRNA from 1 species